rnacentral:rRNA from 1 species
AUGAACGCUGGCGGCGUGCCUAAUACAUGCAAGUCGAGCGAACAGACGAGGAGCUUGCUCCUCUGACGUUAGCGGCGGACGGGUGAGUAACACGUGGAUAACCUACCUAUAAGACUGGGAUAACUUCGGGAAACCGGAGCUAAUACCGGAUAAUAUAUUGAACCGCAUGGUUCAAUAGUGAAAGACGGUUUUGCUGUCACUUAUAGAUGGAUCCGCGCCGCAUUAGCUAGUUGGUAAGAUAACGGCUUACCAAGGCAACGAUGCGUAGCCGACCUGAGAGGGUGAUCGGCCACACUGGAACUGAGACACGGUCCAGACUCCUACGGGAGGCAGCAGUAGGGAAUCUUCCGCAAUGGGCGAAAGCCUGACGGAGCAACGCCGCGUGAGUGAUGAAGGCCUUCGGAUCGUAAAACUCUGUUAUUAGGGAAGAACAAAUGUGUAAGUAACUAUGCACGUCUUGACGGUACCUAAUCAGAAAGCCACGGCUAACUACGUG